GACGAACGCUGGCGGCGUGCCUAAUACAUGCAAGUUGAGCGCUGAAGGUUGGUACUUGUACCGAUUGGACGAGCAGCGAACGGGUGAGUAAUGCGUGGGGAAUUUGUCUUUGAGCGGGGGACAACAUUUGGAAACGUAUGCUAAUACCGCAUAAAAACUUUAAACACAAGUUUUAAGUUUGAAAGAUGCAAUUGCAUCACUCAAAGAUGAUCCUGCGUUGUAUUAGCUAGAUGGUUAGGAAGGGGCUCACCAAGGCGAUGAUACAUAGCCGAGCUGGGAGGGUGAUCGUCCACAUUGGGACUGAGAAACGGCCCAAACUCCUACGGGGGGCAGCAGUAGGGAAUCUUCGGCAAUGGACGGAAGUCUUGCCGAACAAAGGCACGGGAGUGAAGGAAGGUUUCGGAACGUAAAACUCUGUUAAGAGAGAAGAACGUUGGUGAGAGUGACAAGCUCAUGAAUUGACGGUAACUACCCAGAAAGGGACGGCUAACUACGUG
rnacentral:rRNA from 1 species